ensembl:lncRNA
GGAAAUUCUGACCCUACCAUUUGAAUGUCACUGCAGAAAUGGAGAGUCAUCAGACCGAGCAACGCUUUUGAUUGUCUCAUUUUGUUGAGCCUGUGAGAAUUGUAGCUUCAGUGUCCCGUUCUUAGCUGAUAGUCUGCUUCAAGGUUGGAUGCGCUGUGCAGUCAGAGAUGCUCUUCUGCAUACCUUGAUUUUAAUAAGGGGUUAUUUGGAUAACUAUUGCCUUCUUAGGACUGUUUCCCCUCAAAGCAUUCCAACCAUUGUCCUCUUACCUCUGGCAGAGGACAAUAGUUGGACCAUCGCUCACUACAAGUUUACUCUUUUUCUGACCAUAUGGUUGUGUGGGAAAAUCCCAGUAGAUCAGCAGUUUCUAAAACAGACCAGCUUACCUGGCACCAUCAACCACCCUACACUUAAAUCCCUUUUCUUCCACAUUUUGAUGCUCAGUUUGAACAUUAGUAGGCUGCCUAAAUGCAUUGAGUUCCUGUCGUUUGAUUGGCUAAUUAGAUAUUCAUAUUUACCAGCAGUUGAAGCAUAAGUAUCUUGUUUUUUGUUUUUGUUUUUUUAGGUUAAACACACUACGUGUACAAGAGCGAGUGCUUUUGUGCAGUUGCUGUUUAUUUGUAUGGUUAGUCAUUUGUUAUUUUAUGACACUAAUGUCUGAUACUACGAGGCUGUUUGUUCAGCCAUAGCAGGGGUAGUGUCCAUCACUGCUGUUGUAAUGAGCUCUGAAUUGCUUUAAUGGCUACUGAUGCUGUUUAUGGUGUCCUUUCAGUCAUAAAAAUAAUAACCUGUGGGCAAUCCAGAAGGCUGAAAGAAUUAAGAUGAUGGAAGUUUUUUCCUUUAAAAUAUGGCAGUAAAGUGGUCUACUUUACUCGUUUUAGAGACAUCAGUUAGAGGUGAUGCUGUGUCAUAUGUGAAGCUCAAACUCAUGACCCUGAUAGUGUCAUGCUCCAGCAACAGUGCUUGCUGUCUGUAAGCUAUUUGUAGCAGUCAUUCCACAAAGCAGUGGUUUUUCUUUUGAGAGAAGUGGAAUUGGU